CCUGCCGUGUCACAAUGGCUGGUCUGAAAUGCAUGAGUGCACCCUGCCAUAGCAGCGUCUUCAGUGUGAUAAGUAUCUUCACUGAUCCAAGCUUCCUCUGUGGAACACGCUUGUCUGGUGGGCUCUGGGCUUCCAACCGUCCCCAUGGACAACUCUUGACAAUUUGACCUCAAAUCGGGUGGGAUUACCCGCUGAACUUAAGCAUAUCAAUAAGCGGAGGAAAAGAAACUAACAAGGAUUCCCCUAGUAACGGCGAGUGAAGAGGGAAAAGCUCAAAUUUUGAAUCUGGUACCUUUGGUGCCCGAGUUGUAAUCUAGAGAAGUGUUUUCUGCCUUGGACCACGCAUAAAUUCCCUGGAAUGGGGUGUCAUAGAGGGUGAGAAUCCCGUUUGUGGUGUGGACUACCUUGGCUUUGUGAUACACUCUCAACGAGUCGAGUUGUUUGGGAAUGCAGCUCAAAAUGGGUGGUAAAUUCCAUCUAAAGCUAAAUAUUGGCGAGAGACCGAUAGCGAACAAGUACCGUGAGGGAAAGAUGAAAAGCACUUUGGAAAGAGAGUGAAACAGUACGUGAAAUUGUUGAAAGGGAAGCGCUUGAGGUCAGUCACAUCUGUCAGGACUCAGCCAGGCUUCUGCCUGGUGUACUUCCUGGCCGGUGGGUCAGCGUCAGUUUUGACCGAGGGAAAAAGGCUUGGGGAAUGUGGCUGUCUUCGGGCAGUGUUAUAGCCCCUUGUUGUAUGUCUCGGUUGGGACUGAGGAUCGCAGCACGCCUUAUGGCCGGGGUUCGCGCCCUCGGUACGUGCUUA
rnacentral:rRNA from 1 species